UCAAUAAAGGAAGCCACAGCCCUAAGUUUGCAUGACUUGAGCAAGGCUGUUUGGAGGUCAUUGAUCCAUAAGUCAGAAGCAACUUGAUGGCAGUUAACACAUGUGAACAGGCCCUCCAUUGUGGUUCUCUCUCUUUUUCCCAAGGUGUAAAAUCGGGUUCUUUGGGAAAGGCCAAGCUUAUCAGAUGAAGGGGCAGGUUUACUCAUGGCAAUUUUUUCACGCAGUUUCAAGUUGUUAAGUUGAAGACAGACAACCAAAGUAAUUUUCUCACUUUCACAAGCAGAAAACACUGGCUGAACUGGCAGGAGCAUACAUACAAAGAGAGGAGAGUUACUGAUGGACUGAGAGAUCCCAACCAACCAACAAAAGUGACAGAGAUAGAAGUAUGACAGUUAGAAAUUCUUCCAGCCUACACUGGCCCUCGUGUGCUUGUAUGCAAGGAUGCAUAAACCCAACAAGCUGGGAAUCCAUGUGCCCCAUUGCAUAGAAACUGAUGUCUUUGAAUAGCUCCCUCCUUUUUGCUUGCCAUAGUCUCACAUGACUAACAGACUCAGCUUCUGCCUUACCAAGGGCUGCACUGCCUUCUGAGGCCCAGGGUAUUCCUCUCCCUUCCUCUCCCAACUCUUAUCAGCAAUCUAAUCAGGGGAAUGGGGCACCUGCACUGCAGAAUGAGCCAUCUCUUCUACACAGUUGAGCCUCCUCCACCUCCUAGCUGUAGCCUAAUUGGGGGAAUGCAGCAUGUGCACUUCAGAAUGAACCAUCUCUUCCAUGCAAUUGAGCCUCCCCACCUCUGAGCAACAGGCUAAUUGGGGGAACAAGACAUACAUGCUGAAGAACAAGCCAUUUCUUCUGGGUACUUGAGCCUCCCCCACCUCCUGCUGCUGCUUCCUCUCUGCCUGCUACCUGGGGCACCUGCGCCCCCUUACUGCCCCCUAGACUCAUCCCUGCCUCUACAUGAUGGAGCUAUUAGGCUAUUUCUGCAAUACAGUGUUCUCCCUCUUCUGUGGUAAAAUGCACUGUAUCUGGUUGUGCAUUUCUUCCAGUAUUAAAAGGACAUUCAAUAUCUGCAAGUGUUUGGCUCCUCUGGGGCCCUAGGGACAUGUGGAUUUGUUUUCAUUCUCAUUGAUAAUCUGACUUUUUCAACAACAAAGUCUUUUGCAGUUCUACAUGUAUUGUAUGAAUCAUAACUGUGUGUGAAUUUGUUCUGUGUGUGUGUUAUGUUAAACCAUGAAAGCUAUAUUGGCUCAUCAAGUAUAUUUACGAACCUUUUCCCAAUUGCCUUUGUAUUAGAGCAAAUGGACAGAAAGGGAAGGGGAAACAGGAACACUCAGAAACACCAAGUAGAUUCUAACAGCCGUAGAGAGUCCUUAGUUUUAAUCUGUAUGCUUUUUGUACAUAUACACUUCUUUAACAAGGUAGGUAGAAGCAGGAACAUUUAUCCAGACUGAAAUGUUUUCAGUGCAUCCCAUGAUGUGCCUCAAAUAAUCAACAAUUCCCACAAAGACAAGACUUUACAGAUGUAAGAUUACCCUGAGCAGUUUAUAUGUACUACUUUGGUUCUUGAAAAUCUAUUACAGGAUGUGUAGGAUAUACAAACUAGUUGCUUCCAAUACAUGCAUGUGGACAUAUAUCCAAAUACAUGCAUGUGGACAUAUAUCCAAGGUCCCACUGUAUAGAAACAUCACACAACUAGAAGUACAAGAAUCAGUCCAAGGGAUAAAAUCCAGCAAUUCUGGAGAGUGUAAAGAAAGCAUCUCAAAAUCUUACUGCUCCUGCCACCUUCACACUUCCCGUGAUAUGAAUCGUAGCACUGGGAUUCCCCUCAUCUGCUUUCUAAGCAAGCUGUUCAACAAAACAUGUGGCUGGUCAAUCUCACAUGUUGUGAAGAACCUCACCCAAAAUCUCCAAAAACAUUCCCUACAAACAUUUAAUAGAAGAGGUCACAUCUUUAACUACAAUUCAGCACAAAGCAUUCAGAUAAAUUGAAUACAUAGAAAUAAGCAUGCUUAAUUCUGUUCUGGGUUGCAUUUUUUUCUUAAUUUAGAGAAGCAGCCUCAGGUUGCUGUCACACUGACAUAAAAAUGUCCUGCCAUGACAGUGAAACCACAAGGGAAAGUUUACGGCUCAAAAUUAAUAAUUCUGAAUGUUUGUAAUCUGUAAGAAUAAAUGUCAAGUCAUCUUGGUGAAAUAGUGAAUAAUUGUAAAGUAGAAUGAGUUUUGGUUCAUUCGCAGAUGGAAACAGCAACACAAACUUAAAUACAAUCAAGUUUUAAUCUUG